rnacentral:rRNA from 1 species
CCUACGGGAGGCUGCAGUGGGGGAUAUUGGACAAUGGGGGGAACCCUGACCCAGCGACGCCGCGUGAGUGAAGAAGUAUCUCGGUAUGUAAAGCUCUAUCAGCAGGGAAGAAGAAAUGACGGUACCUGACUAAGAAGCCCCGGCUAACUACGUGCCAGCAGCCGCGGUAAUACGUAGGGGGCAAGCGUUAUCCGGAUUUACUGGGUGUAAAGGGAGCGUAGACGACAGCGCAAGUCUGGAGUGAAAUCCCAUGGCUUAACCAUGGAACUGCUUUUGAAACUGUGCAGCUGGAGUGCAGGAGAGGUAAGCGGAAUUCCUAGUGUAGCGGUGAAAUGCGUAGAUAUUAGGAGGAACACCAGUGGCGAAGGCGGCUUACUGGACUGUAACUGACGUUGAGGCUCGAAAGCGUGGGGAGCAAACAGGAUUAGAUACCCUGGUAGUC